CAGCUCUCCGAGUGGUAGGGAUGAUUAUUGGGCUUAAAGCGUCCGUAGCCGGCUUAGCAAGUCUCCUGUUAAAUUCAGCGACCUAAUCGUUGAGCCGCGGGAGAUACUACUAGGCUAGGAGGCGGGAGAGGUCGACGGUACUUCCGGGGUAGGGGUGAAAUCCUAUAAUCCCGGGCGGACCACCAGUGGCGAAGGCUGUCGACUAGCACGCGCUCGACGGUGGGGGACGAAAGCUGGGGGAGCGAACCGGAUUAGAUACCCGAGUAGUCC
rnacentral:rRNA from 1 species